rnacentral:lncRNA from 1 species
CUAUAAUCUGUUCCUUUCACUGUGUUCUUCAGACAACACAGUGGACAGAGGGCUCUUUCCUGUCCCUUGUGCAGAGUCGGGACAGGUCAGUCCUUCCUGUGCAGAAUCUUGAAAAUCUGUAGCUGGUAAUCUGAGCAGCUAUUAUGGUGAGUUUUUGCAAUCUUCUACUUCAUUAUUUUGAAUUUCUUCAGUGAGUCAUGACAAAACUGUUAAGGUCUAAAAUGUUUACACUUGUAUUUGGAAAGAGCUAGGGACUCAU